UUCAGGGAGUGAAGCUCUACAAGAAUUUCAUAGUGGCUAUAGGAACUCAAAAAUCCGUGUCGGACAGUGUAAUCAGUCGAUGAAAUUAUCGCAAAAAAACUCACGCACAAUUAAGACUGAAGACGUGCCGUAGCAAUGCCUGUAUAAAACUUUUUAUUAGACUGCCUGAGUUCGUCAUUUCGUGGAUCUUAUACUAAUUGUUUAUCGUUACAUUCGGGCGGUCUUCGUAAGCUGAUCUAUUGUCACGUCCCGCGACUAAAGCACCAUUUGCAAUUUGACACCAUUUGAGCGCUCGGCCUUUCAACUUUAAAAUCCGAAAAUGAUCAAUCACGAAAUACAAAUCAAAUGUUCACAAAAGACAACAAAAGACACAAAAAAUUAUAAACUCACCACGAACGAGAAUCACAGCUCGCCGAAUAAAAACACAAUCGAAUAAGCACCCGUAGAAACAGAAACUGAAAGUAAAAAUAAACGAACUGUGAUUGCACUCGCGACUGGUCUUAGCUAAUUAUAUACAGACUUCGUCCUUCCUACCGAUAUCCCAACGUCUAAGGCAAGGGCCCGCUAGGAUAGCCUUACCGAUGAGUCCUCUAGCGGUCCCUUUUCACUUUCAACUACCCAAAAACCUAAGAUCCAACUGACGCGAUGGCCCAGCAAACGUAGCCAUCCCCGCCAACAAGUAUCCCCAUACCAUUCAGUUUCGCGCGCUGUGGUGAUAGCAAUACACUGGUGGAAAACGCGAAGCAAACGUGACUGCAAUAAGCACCAGCAGCGCGCCAGCGGAUACAGAUACGAAAGGUAUGCAGCGAGAUGAGUCACCGAAGACUCGGUCUCACGAAGCAGACGUGACUGCGAUAAGCACCUGCGCGCCAGCGGAUGCAGAUAGGAAUGGAAUGCAGCGAAGACAGACCGCGAAGUGCCCCCACUCAGUCGCACGAGUGCCCCCACCUGUUUGACCACUGACUGCGCUCUAUAAAAACACUGGCGAGAGGACCGCAGUAGUCAGUCUAUCAAGCAGAAGUCAAAGAGUUCGUUACGUUUCCACACAAAAUCUUAAAAUUAAUUAUUAACGUCGAAUAAUAUACAUUAAGAUGGAAGGUUCGAAAAAGCAGACAUGUAAAAAGCGUCGAGGGGGUCGUAAAACGAGAUAUUAUCGAAAGGUCCGUGCAUUGAAAAAGGAAUUCUGCGUUAAAUUUGAACAACGGCUACGUGACAUCGAAAGGGAGCUGGCUGAAGAGUCUCUGAAGCCUAAUCCGAUCCCGGACUCUUUCCCGUCUGUAGAGGUUUACGACCCAGUGUCGACUAAAGAACGGGCCAACGACGACGAUAUCGGGAUACUGUUUGAAAAUGAAAAUCAACACAACCCUGAUUAGGAUCCCGAAUAUUUUAAUAUAAAUUUACUAAACAUUUAAUAACUUCGACAAUUAAAGUUAAUUUUGUUUUUGUUUUAAUAAACCAGUACAAUAGAGUCUUGGA